rnacentral:rRNA from 1 species
UAGGGAAUCUUCGGCAAUGGACGAAAGUCUGACCGAGCAACGCCGCGUGAGUGAAGAAGGUUUUCGGAUCGUAAAACUCUGUUGUUAGAGAAGAACACGGACGUUAGUAACUGAACGUCCCCUGACGGUAUCUAACCAGAAAGCCACGGCUAACUACGUGCCAGCAGCCGCGGUAAUACGUAGGUGGCAAGCGUUGUCCGGAUUUAUUGGGCGUAAAGCGAGCGCAGGCGGUUUCUUAAGUCUGAUGUGAAAGCCCCCGGCUCAACCGGGGAGGGGCAUUGGAAACUGGGAGACUUGAGUGCAGAAGAGGAGAGUGGAAGUCCAUGUGUAGCGGUGAAAUGCGUAGAUAUAUGGAGGAACACCAGUGGCGAAGGCGGCUCUCUGGUCUGUAACUGACGCUGAGGCUCGAAAGAGUGGGGAGCAAACAGG